rnacentral:rRNA from 1 species
CACGUAGGGCGCGAGCGUUGUCCGGAAUUAUUGGGCGUAAAGAGCUCGUAGGCGGCCUGUUGCGUCCGCUGUGAAAGCCCGGGGCUUAACCCCGGGUCGGCAGUGGAUACGGGCAGGCUAGAGGUAGGUAGGGGAGAAUGGAAUUCCCGGUGUAGCGGUGAAAUGCACAGAUAUCAGGAGGAACACCGAUGGCGAAGGCAGGUCUCUGGGCAUUAACUGACGCUGAGGAGCGAAAGCAUGGGGAGCGAACAGG